rnacentral:rRNA from 1 species
UACGGAGGGUGCAAGCGUUAAUCGGAAUUACUGGGCGUAAAGCGUGCGCAGGCGGUUUGUUAAGUCCGCUGUGAAAUCCCCGGGCUUAACCUGGGAACUGCAUUUGUGACUGGCAAGCUAGAGUAUGGCAGAGGGGGGUAGAAUUCCACGUGUAGCAGUGAAAUGCGUAGAGAUGUGGAGGAAUACCGAUGGCGAAGGCAGCCCCCUGGGCCAAUACUGACGCUCAUGCACGAAAGCGUGGGGAGCAAACAGG